rnacentral:rRNA from 1 species
GCGGCCUAUCAGCUUGUUGGUGAGGUAAUGGCUCACCAAGGCGACGACGGGUAGCCGGCCUGAGAGGGCGACCGGCCACACUGGGACUGAGACACGGCCCAGACUCCUACGGGAGGCAGCAGUGGGGAAUAUUGCGCAAUGGGCGAAAGCCUGACGCAGCAACGCCGCGUGGGGGAUGAAGGCCUUCGGGUUGUAAACCUCUUUCAGCAGGGAAGAAGCGAAAGUGACGGUACCUGCAGAAGAAGCACCGGCUAACUACGUGCCAGCAGCCGCGGUAAUACGUAGGGUGCAAGCGUUGUCCGGAUUUAUUGGGCGUAAAGAGCUCGUAGGCGGUUAGUCACGUCGGAUGUGAAAUCCCGGAGCUUAACUCCGGGCCUGCAUUCGAUACGGGCUGACUAGAGUGUUGUAGGGGAGACUGGAAUUCCU